rnacentral:rRNA from 1 species
UGCAAGUCGAGCGGGUAGAGAGAAGCUUGCUUCUCUUGAGAGCGGCGGACGGGUGAGUAAUGCCUAGGAAUCUGCCUGGUAGUGGGGGAUAACGUCCGGAAACGGACGCUAAUACCGCAUACGUCCCACGGGAGAAAGCAGGGGACCUUCGGGCCUUGCGCUAUCAGAUGAGCCUAGGUCGGAUUAGCUAGUUGGUGGGGUAAUGGCUCACCAAGGCGACGAUCCGUAACUGGUCUGAGAGGAUGAUCAGUCACACUGGAACUGAGACACGGUCCAGACUCCUACGGGAGGCAGCAGUGGGGAAUAUUGGACAAUGGGCGAAAGCCUGAUCCAGCCAUGCCGCGUGUGUGAAGAAGGUCUUCGGAUUGUAAAGCACUUUAAGUUGGGAGGAAGGGCAGUAAAUUAAUACUUCGCUGUUUUGACGUUACCGACAGAAUAAGCACCGGCUAACUCUGUGCCAGCAGCCGCGGUAAU